AUUGAGCCCUGGCAGAGAUGAGGAUUCUGGAUUAUGAGAAGAUAAUUACCCAUUAUGAUUUGGAUUCUACUGAACAUUCUAAUUCAGAGUCGACAGGUGCAGCGGAAGUCCACGAUCACAUCCUGGCACAUCCAAGUAUAAAACUGAGUAGGACCAGAGGAAUGACUGUGUGACUCAAAAGAGUUUGCCCAAAUGGUCUUCAUCACUCUUCAUCACUUCAUCACUCUCAAUGGAAACGACAGCAACUCUCAUCUCGUAUCUGUGGUUAUGUGAGAACUUCAAGGAAAAGACCUGAUUUAUGGUCUGAUGGCUUUUCCUGCAGUUCAUUCUUGCUGCUGCUUCCUCAAUACAUAAUCUCAUCUUGGCAUCUGCCUCUUGGAGGAUCUGGACGAACACAGAUGGUUUGGACAUGUGCUACCAAGGAACAUCCCGAUGUUUAUCAUAUUUGAGUAGAAUUUCCUACUGAGGAAGGAAUACGGUGACCGAUUAACUAAGAAAAUGAACCCAAGGCCUCCUGCACACCAGUCAGGAGCUCUGUUGCCAACCUGCCCUUCAAUCCCACAACUCUAACUUUAAAGGUGGCUCUGGAGGAGUGCGUCUUUUUUAGCGUUGUCUGGGGUGAAAUAAAGACUUAAAGGUGUACUUGCUCUCCUGCAAAUGUUUUCUUCUGGCUUAAUCCAAUGGUCAGUUAUCAAUAAACGACUGAAACAGACAAGGGUACCAUACUGGCACACGUUUGAUCAGCAUUUGGGGUCCAGCGUGACUGAGUUGACUUUUUAAAAAUAAGAAUCCAAACUAAUGACACAUAUAAACCAGUUUAUUAGAUUGUCAGUGAUACUUUGAGACAAAUUCAAGUUAUUUUAUUUUACUUCAUAUAAACAGAGGAAGGAGGGAAC
ensembl:lncRNA